rnacentral:rRNA from 1 species
UACGGAGGGUGCAAGCGUUAUCCGGAUUCACUGGGUUUAAAGGGUGCGUAGAUGGCAUAAUAAGUUAUUAGUGGGAAAUCGAGGCUCAACCUCGUGGAAGCUAGUAAUACUGUUUUGCUUGAGUGCAGAAGAGGUUAACGGAACUCCAUGUGGAGCGGUAAAAUGCGUAGAUAUAUGGAAGAACAUCAAUAACGGCGAAGGCAGUUAACUAUUCUGUUACUGACAUUGAGGCACGAAAGCGUGGGGAGCAAAACGG